rnacentral:rRNA from 1 species
UUAAUUGAAGAGUUUGAUCAUGGCUCAGAUUGAACGCUGGCGGCAGGCCUAACACAUGCAAGUCGAGCGGCAGCACAGAGGAACUUGUUCCUUGGGUGGCG